rnacentral:rRNA from 1 species
UACGUAGGGUGCGAGCGUUGUCCGGAAUUAUUGGGCGUAAAGGGCUCGUAGGCGGUUUGUCGCGUCGGGAGUGAAAUCCACUGGCUUAACUGGUGGCUUGCUUUCGAUACGGGCAGACUGGAGGUAUGCAGGGGAGAACGGAAUUCCUGGUGUAGCGGUGGAAUGCGCAGAUAUCAGGAGGAAUACCGGUGGCGAAGGCGGCAUCCUGGACCGAGAUUGACACUAAAGCGCGAAAGCCAGGGGAGCAAACGGG